rnacentral:lncRNA from 1 species
UGGAGAGGUAGAUCCUCACACUGAUAGCGAAGCAGCAGCUUGCUUCUAAUUAAAUAUGCGGCUGACUCUCCAUGCUCUCGCUCGCUAGCAGCCGCACAGAGGAGAAGCGGCUGAGGAGAGGAAGGAAGGAGUCUAUCACAUCAUCUCUCUGUCCACAGGCUUUCCUUGGGGCUUAUGAAGAUUUCUUCUCACCAACCCCUCUUCACCCGUCGGAGCCAGAAGGAUGUGUGGAUAGACGGCUUAAGAACAGUUGUGCUUGAUGGCCCUGUGUCUUGAGGUCCUUCAUUGUCAGUCUAAGUAGGACACACCUACCCGAG